AAUCAUAUGGUGGGGGCAUGCUUCCAGAAGAUUAUUGAAGCGCUCCCAAUACUCGUAGAGAGUCUCAGAUUCAUCCUGAACGAUCAUGGAGAUGUCUUUUCUUAGUUU